rnacentral:rRNA from 1 species
GUGGGGAAUAUUGCACAAUGGGGGGAACCCUGAUGCAGCGACGCCGCGUGAGUGAAGAAGUCUUUCGGUAUGUAAAGCUCUGUCAGCAGGGAAGAAGCAAGACGGUACCUGACCAAGAAGCCACGGCUAACUACGUGCCAGCAGCCGCGGUAAUACGUAGGGGGCAAGCGUUAUCCGGAUUUACUGGGCGUAAAGGGAGCGUAGACGGCAGGGCAAGUCUGGAGUGAAAGGCCGGGGCCCAACCCCUGGACUGCGCUGGAAACUGUCCGGCUGGAGUGCAGGAGAGGUAAGUGGAAUUCCUAGUGUAGCGGUGAAAUGCGUAGAUAUUAGGAGGAACACCAGUGGCGAAGGCGGCUUACUGGACUGUAACUGACGUUGAGGCUCGAAAGCGUGGGGAGCAAACAGG